UUAAAGUCAUGGGACUAGAUCAAGUCACUUGGAUGAAGAAGCCGGAGGCUGGGGUGACGUCUGAUAUGUUAGGUUUUUAUUUUCAUUUAUAUUAAAAUAUUUUCUUAUUUCCCUUGUGAUUUCUUUUUUCUUUUUUCUUUUUUUUUUGGCACAGGAUUAUUGUGAAAAGUGUUUUUUAAUGCCGCCAUAUUUGGGGAUGUGAGAGCUAUCUUUGUGUAAUUGAUUUCUAAUAUAUUUCUAUUAUGUUCAGAGAGCAUACCCUAAAUAAUUUAAAUCCCUUUUCUCUCAGAUUUGUUGAGCCUCACUCAGUGGUCCCGUGUAUAGCUGAUCUUGACAAACAUUUCGUGUGUGCUUGAAAGAAAUGUGUAUUUUGUGCAGUUUGGGGUUUUAAGUUCUACGAAUGUCAAUUACAGCAAGUUGGUUGGUAACAUUAUUCACAUCUCCUGUACCCUCAGUAACUUUUUAAAAAAAUUAACUUCAUUUUUUAGAGAAGUUUUAGAUUUACAGAAAAACUGCAAAUAUAGGACAGAGGAGUUCCCAUAUGCCCCACACCCAAUUUCCCUCAAAAUUAACAUCUCACAUGGGGAUGGUACUUUUAUUACCAUCAUGAAUCUGUAUGCUUUAUUCAGAUUUCCUUAGUUUUUACCUGAUAUGCCUAUUCUGUUCCAGGAUCUCACCCACAAUCCCACAUGACAUUUAGUCAUUCCCUUGUUUUUGAUGACCUUGACAGUUUUGAGAUAUUCUGUAGAAUGUCCCGCUAAGGGAUUUGUCUGAUGUGCUUGUUAUGAUCAGAUGGGGGCUAGGGGUUUGGAGAAGGAAGACCAGAGGUCAAGUGCCAUUCUUUACUGCUUCAUGUCAGAGACAUGUGAUCAACAUGACUCACGCCCGUCGAUGCUGAUGAUCAAUCACCAGGCUGAGGAGAUAAUUUGUCGGUUUAACGGAGCAUCCUGCGUUUUAUCGGGUAACGCUCUCCAGCCACCUUCCUGGCCUCUGCCAGAUGUCCACGUGGAACAUCAGGGGUCCACCUGAGCUCUCAGCCCAUCGCCGUGAGUUUUUUCGCUCGUGGGAAAUAAGCUGGCUUCAGUAAUGGCCCAGGAUCCUUUGGAAUUUGCCUGACAGAAUCUUGGCUCGUGCUCUGUGAUUGUCCAGCGCGGCCGGUCCUGCCAUCUGCUUUGGAGAGAUUCUCCUCUCACGUUAAAGGGCAAUUUCCCUGUCGCUUGGAGGUUUGAGUCAUCUUGGAGUCACAGUAAAAUUCAAAGGAAAGUACAGAGAUUUCCCAUAUACCAUCUGCCCCCCACUCACGCACAGCAUCCCCCACCACCAACAUCCCCCACCGAGUGAGACAUUUGUUAUAGGUGAUAAACUGAUGGUGACAUGUCAUUAUCACCCAAAGCCCAUGGUUUAAGCCAGGCUUCCCUCCUGGUGUUGUACAUUCUAUGGGUUUGGGCAAAUGUAUAAUGGCAGGUAUCCAUCAGUUUUUUUCACUGCCCUAAAAAUCUUGGCCAUUUUAAUAGGUGUGUAGUAACACCGCAUUGCUGUUUUAAUUUGUAUUUCUCUGGUGAUAUAUGAUGUGGGGCAUCUUUUCAUAUGUGUCUUUGCCAUUGGAAUUUCUUCUUUGGUGAGGUGUCUGUUAAUAAAGUUUUGGCCCAUAUUUAAGUCGGGUUGUUUUCUUAUUGUUGAGUUUUAAGAGUUCUGUGUAAAGUUUGGAUAAUAGUACU